UAUUUUUCCUGCUGCAUAUCAGUACUCUUUAUUUUUCCCCAAGGAUGACUGCAUUAUGGUUCUGUUUCCAGUGAGAAACAAUAGCUUCGUCUUGUAGCCAGCAGAUCUUCCCUGCCUUCACCUGCUCUACUCAAAAGACCUUUAUCAUCAGAAAUCACCCAUGAAAGUACCACAUAGCUACAGCUACCACUUAACCUUCUCUUCGAUAAACGAAAUAAAUACACUUAGUUUCUUCAAUCUCAGUACCUGGAAAACGUUCCUUGAUUUUAAAUUGCACCUCCUAUGUACUAUCUGUUAGUGAAUAAAGUAAUAAGAAAUA